rnacentral:rRNA from 1 species
GUGGGGAAUAUUGGACAAUGGGCGCAAGCCUGAUCCAGCCAUGCCGCGUGAGUGAUGAAGGCCCUAGGGUUGUAAAGCUCUUUCACCGGUGAAGAUAAUGACGGUAACCGGAGAAGAAGCCCCGGCUAACUUCGUGCCAGCAGCCGCGGUAAUACGAAGGGGGCUAGCGUUGUUCGGAAUUACUGGGCGUAAAGCGCACGUAGGCGGGUAUUUAAGUCAGGGGUGAAAUCCCGGAGCUCAACUCCGGAACUGCCUUUGAUACUGGGUACCUAGAGUAUGGAAGAGGUAAGUGGAAUUCCGAGUGUAGAGGUGAAAUUCGUAGAUAUUCGGAGGAACACCAGUGGCGAAGGCGGCUUACUGGUCCAUUACUGACGCUGAGGCGCGAAAGCGUGGGGAGCAAACAGGAUUAGAUACCCGAGUAGUCC